rnacentral:rRNA from 1 species
UGAGGAAUAUUGGUCAAUGGGCGAGAGCCUGAACCAGCCACGUCGCGUGAAGGAAGACUGACCCUACGGUUUGUAAACUUCUUUUGUAGAGGGGUAAUGGCAGAUACGUGUAUUUGCGUGAAAGUACUCUACGAAUAAGCAUCGGCUAACUCCGUGCCAGCAGCCGCGGUAAUACGGGGGAUGCGAGCGUUAUCCGGAAUUAUUGGGUUUAAAGGGUGCGCAGGUGGCUAAUCAGGUCAGUGGUGAAAAGCUAUGGCUCAACCAUGGUCUUGCCAUUGAAACCGUAUAGCUAGAGAGGAGACGAGGUAGGCGGAAUGUGUGGUGUAGCGGUGAAAUGCAUAGAUAUCACACAGAACUCCGAUUGCGAAGGCAGCUUACCAGGCUUUAUCUGACACUUAGGCACGACAGCGUGGGGAUCAAACAGG